rnacentral:rRNA from 1 species
GGCUUAACACAUGCAAGUCGAGCGGGUCCUUCGGGGUCAGCGGCGGACGGGUGAGUAACGCGUGGGAACGUGCCUUCUGGUUCGGAAUAACCCUGGGAAACUAGGGCUAAUACCGGAUACGCCCUUUUGGGGAAAGGUUUACUGCCGGAAGAUCGGCCCGCGUCUGAUUAGCUAGUUGGUGGGGUAACGGCCUACCAAGGCGACGAUCAGUAGCUGGUCUGAGAGGAUGAUCAGCCACACUGGGACUGAGACACGGCCCAGACUCCUACGGGAGGCAGCAGUGGGGAAUAUUGGACAAUGGGCGCAAGCCUGAUCCAGCCAUGCCGCGUGAGUGGUAAGGCCUUAGGGUUGUAAAGCUC